rnacentral:rRNA from 1 species
ACGCAUCGAAAGAUGUGCUCNUNCNGCAUAUCUCUGAGGAGAAAAGCANGGGAUCGCANGACCUUGCGCUAAAGGAGCGGCCGAUGUCUGAUUAGCUNNNUGGUGGGGUAAAGGCUUACCAAGGCAACGAUCAGUAGUUGGUCUGAGAGGACGGCCAACCACACUGGGACUGAGACACGGNCCAGACUCCUACGGGAGGCAGCAGUGGGGAAUUUUGGACAAUGGGCGAAAGCCUGAUCCAGCCAUGCCGCGUGAGUGAAGAAGGCCUUCGGGUUGUAAAGCUCUUUUAGUCGGAAAGAAAGAGUUGCAAUGAAUAAUUGUGAUUUAUGACGGUACCGACAGAAAAAGCACCGGCUAACUACGUGCCAGCAGCCGCGGUAAUACGUAGGGUGCGAGCGUUAAUCGGAAUUACUGGGCGUAAAGGGUGCGCAGGCGGUCUUGCAAGUCAGAUGUGAAAGCCCCGGGCUUAACCUGGGAAUUGCGUUUGAAACUACAAGGCUAGAGUGCAGCANAGGGGAGUGNAAUUCCAUGUGUAGCAGUNNNNNUGCGUAGAGAUGUGGAAGAACACCGAUGGCGAANGCAGCUCCCUGGGUUGACACUGACGCUCAUGCACNAAGGCGUGGGGAGCANACANGAUUAGAUACCCUGGUAGUCCACGCCCUNAACGAUGUCAACUAGNUGUCGGAUCUANUUANGGAUUUGNNAACGUAGCUAACGCGUGAAGUUGACCGCCUGGGNAGUACGG